GAAAGUAAACAAGGGCGCAUGGAGGAUGCCUAGGCUCUCGAAGGCGACGAAGGACGCGAUAAGCUGCGAAAAGCCGCGGGGAGGUGCAAAUAACCUUCGAUCCGCGGAUCUCCGAAUGGGGCAACCCACCGUGAAAACGGUAUACUGCCAAGCAGUAAGCAAACGCGGGGAACUGAAACAUCUAAGUACCCGCAGGAAAAGAAAAUAACAAUGAUUCCGCAAGUAGUGGCGAGCGAACGCGGACCAGCCCAAACCAGCCAUGUCCAGGCAUGACUGGGGUAGAAGGACCAUGACAGCGGCAAGCGCAAAGGAAGCAGAAAACGUUGGAAAACGUUUCCAGAGAAGGUGAAAGACCCGUACGCGACUCCCGAGCAAAGCCCCAUGGAAUCCUGAGUAGCGCAGGACACGAGAAAUCCGGUGUGAAACAGCGGGGCCCAUCCCGUAAGGCUAAAUACUCCCGAGAGACCGAUAGCGAACCAGUACUGUGAAGGAAAGGUGAAAAGAACCUCGAACAGAGGAGUGAAACAGACCCUGAAACCAUGCGCCUACAAGCGGUUGGAGCCGGGUAACCGGUGACAGCGUGCCUUUUGCAUAAUGAACCUACGAGUUACCCUUGCUGGCAAGGUUAAGGAUUUCAGAUCCGGAGCCGAAGCGAAAGCGAGUCCCAAACAGGCGAGACAGUCAGCAGGGGUAGACGCGAAACCAAGUGAUCUACCCUUGGGCAGGUUGAAGGUUGGGUAACACCAACUGGAGGACCGAACCGGUAAGCGUUGAAAAGCUUUCGGAUGACCUGAGGGUAGGAGUGAAAGGCCAAUCAAACUUGGAGAUAGCUCGUACUCCCCGAAAUGCAUUUAGGUGCAGCCUCGGGUAAUAGAUUGAAGAGGUAGAGCGACUGAUAGGAUACGAGGGCUUCACCGCCUAUCAAGUCCUGACAAACUCCGAAUACUUCAAUCCGUAUCCCGGGAGUGAGGGCGCGGGUGCUAAGGUCCGCGUCCGAAAGAGGAACAACUCAGACCAUCAGCUAAGGUCCCCAAAUAACAGCUAAGUUGAACAAACGAAGUAAGAUUGCAAAGACAGCUAGGAUGUUGGCUUGGAAGCAGCCAUUCAUUUAAAGAGUGCGUAACAGCUCACUAGUCGAGGAAUCUUGCAUGGAUAAUAAUCGGGCAUAAGCCGUUUACCGAAGCUAUGGAUGUCGCAAGACAUGGUAGGGGAGCAUUCCGUACGCCGUCGAAGACGCUCCUUGAGGCGCGUUGGAGGCCACGGAAAAGCAAAUGUAGGUAUAAGUAACGAUAAAGAGAGCGAGAAACUCUCUCGCCGAAAGACCAAGGGUUCCUGAUCAACGCUAAUCGGAUCAGGGUAAGUCGGGCCCUAAGGAACAGCCGAACGGCGCAUCCGAUGGAAGAAACGGUCAACAUUCCGUUACUGGAUAAACGAACGAUGUGGAGACGGAGCAGUGACACUUCCGCCUGCAGACGGAAUAGCAGGUUAAAGAGCGUAGAUAAUGGCAGGGCAGGCAAAUCCACCCCGCCAGUCGAACUUGACAGAACUGGGCGUCCCCGGACAACCAGAUAGCGAAGGUAACCAAACUCCCAAGAAAAUCCGCUAAGUACAUCGUUUAUCCACCCGUACCCGAAACGGACACACGUGGUCGCGUAGAACAUACUAAGGCGCUCGAGUGAUUCACGGUUAAGGAACUAGGCAAAUUGACCCUGUAACUUCGGGAUAAAGGGUCCCUACCCGGUGACGGGAGGGCGCAGAGAAUAGGUCCAGGCAACUGUUUAACAAAAACACAGGGCUGUGCAAAAUUGAAAGAUCACGUAUACAGCCUGACACCUGCCCGGUGCUGGAAGGUUAAGAGGAGAUGUCAUCGCAAGAGAAGCAUUGAAUUGAAGCCCCAGUAAACGGCGGCCGUAACUAUAACGGUCCUAAGGUAGCGAAAUUCCUUGUCGGGUAAGUUCCGACCUGCACGAAUGGUGUAAUGAUCUGGACACUGUCUCAACCGUGAGCUCGGUGAAAUUGUAGUAUCGGUGAAGAUGCCGAUUACCCGCAACGGGACGGAAAGACCCCGUGAACCUUUACUGCAGCUUAGCAUUGCAAUCGGGUACUCCAUGUGUAGGAUAGUCCGGAGGCUAAGAAACGGUGACGCCAGUCAUCGCGGAGCCGCCCUUGAAAUACGGACCUUGGAUUAUUUGAUUCCUAACUCGCGAAUGCGAGGACAUUGCUUGGUGGGUAGUUUGACUGGGGUGGUCGCCUCCAAAAAAGUAACGGAGGCUUCUAAAGGUUCCCUCAGGCCGAUUGGUAACCGGCCGCAGAGUGUAAUGGCACAAGGGAGCUUGACUGGGAGACCGACAAGUCGAUCAGGUAGGAAACUAGAGCAUAGUGAUCCGGUGGUUCUGUAUGGAAAGGCCAUCGCUCAAAGGAUAAAAGGUACUCCGGGGAUAACAGGCUGAUCCCUCCCAAGAGCUCAUAUCGACGGAGUGGUUUGGCACCUCGAUGUCGGCUCGUCACAUCCUGGGGCUGGAGAAGGUCCCAAGGGUUAGGCUGUUCGCCUAUUAAAGUGGCACGCGAGCUGGGUUCAGAACGUCGUGAGACAGUUCGGUCCCUAUCUGUUGUGGGCGCAGGAAAUUUGCGGGGCACUGACACUAGUACGAGAGGACCGUGUUGGACAGACCCCUGGUCAACCGGUUGUUCCGCCAGGAGCACGGCCGGGUAGCUAAGUCUGGACAGGAUAAGCGCUGAAAGCAUCUAAGUGCGAAGCCCACCCCAAGAUAAGAUUUCCAUAUAGGGUCGUCAAAGACUAUGACGUCGAUAGGUUGCAGAUGUAAAGGCAGUAAUGUCAAAGUCGAGCAAUACUAAUCACCCGACACUUUCGCCG
rnacentral:rRNA from 1 species